CAGCCGUCAACCCUUUCUCCCUCUCACAGAACGUUCUGCUAGGGUUCCUCCCCAAGUCCCUCGAGCUAGCUCCGAAUCAGUUUCUACUCCAUCUCCGUAGUGAGUCCUUGAGCUUCUGUGCUCCUUGGUUGCGCGUCGAAGGUCCUGUGCGAACCCAUUUCCAGAUGGGCGAAGUUCUCGUGGUCAGCAGGGAAACGGUGAUCCAGCAGCUUAGCCGUCUGGGCUAGAUCUCACGCUUCUUCUUUUCAUGUUUUCUUUAGGGCUAUGGCCCCUGUAUUCGUAGUUGUUAGAUUGUAAACUCUUAAGUAAACGGUUAUCCUGCUUUUAGUUGGCAUCGUGGUGUGCCUGGUUUCGUAGGGGUGAC